rnacentral:rRNA from 1 species
ACGCUCGACACCUACGGGAGGCAGCAGUGGGAAUAUUGCACAAUGGGGGAAACCCUGAUGCAGCGACGCCGCGUGGAGGAAGAAGGUCUUCGGAUUGUAAACUCCUGUUGUUGGGGAAAAAGAGGAUGGUACCCAACAAGGAAGUGACGGCUAACUACGUGCUAGCAGCCGCGGUAAUCUGAGCGGGCUGGCAAGGC